AGCAGCCGCGGUAAUUCCAGCUCCAAUAGCGUAUAUUAAAGUUGCUGCAGUUAAAAAGCUCGUAGUUGAAUUUCGGGAUCGAUAUAUCGGUCGUGCCUCGGUACGUACUGGUAUUUUCGGUUUCUACCUUCUGACGAACCUUGAUGUCAUUAAUUUGGUGUCUUGGGGAAUCAGGACUGUUACUUUGAAAAAAUUAGAGUGUUUAAAGCAGGCUCACGCUUGAAUACAUUAGCAUGGAAUAAUGAAAUAGGACGUUUGAUUCUAUUUUGUUGGUUUCUAGGAUCGACGUAAUGAUUAAUAGGGAUAGUUGGGGGCAUUAGUAUUCAAUUGUCAGAGGUGAAAUUCUUGGAUUUAUUGAAGACUAACUACUGCGAAAGCAUUUGCCAAGGAUGUUUUCAUUAAUCAAGAACGAAAGUUAGGGGAUCGAAGACGAUCAGAUACCGUCGUAGUCUUAACCAUAAACUAUGCCGACUAGGGAUCGGAUGAUGUUAAUUUUUUAAUGACUCAUUCGGCGCCUUACG
rnacentral:rRNA from 1 species